rnacentral:rRNA from 1 species
AYAAAGAAUAAUUAGUGGCAGACGGGUGAGUAAUGCAUAGGAAUCUACCUAGUAGUAUGGGAUAGCCACUAGAAAUGGUGGGUAAUACUGUAUAAUCCCUGCGGGGGAAAGAUUUAUCGCUAUUAGAUGAGCCUAUGUUAGAUUAGCUAGUUGGUAGGGUAAAGGCCUACCAAGGCGAUGAUCUAUAGCUGGUCUGAGAGGAUGAUCAGCCACACUGGAACUGAGAUACGGUCCAGACUCCUACGGGAGGCAGCAGUGGGGAAUAUUGGACAAUGGGCGCAAGCCUGAUCCAGCUAUGCCGCGUGAGUGAGGAAGGCCUUAGGGUUGUAAAACUCUUUCAGUAGGGAAGAUAAUGACGGUACCUACAGAAGAAGUCCCGGCAAACUCCGUGCCAGCAGCCGCGGUAAUACGGAGGGGGCAAGCGUUGUUCGGAAUUAUUGGGCGUAAAGGGCAUGUAGGCGGUUCGGUAAGUUAAAGGUGAAAUGCCAGGGCUUAAC